rnacentral:misc_RNA from 1 species
CACAGGCGAAUGCUGCCGCGAGUUUUCAAAGCUUUCGUAUAUACACAUGUUGUUGCACGUUUCACGAAUCAGCCCGCGGGCUUAUUAUCUGAUGAAACGUCUAAAACGAUCGUUCAUUCGAAGGGAAAAGAAUGUGGGAACUUACCGGUACCCGUCGAAGUACUGCGUUCAUUGGCCAGAAAAUCUCUCGUAGAUGUUCAAGUUUGUAAAUACUGUAUGUGAGCAUAGAUGUCAGAAAUACGUUGUCGCGUAUGUGCGUCACAACGAUUGUUUACUAUAUAACCACACGCGACGCGGUCAAAUGCGUAAAUUUGUAUACAACUGUUAAU